AAAGAAGAUGUGGUAUGAUUGCCAACGAGACAACUAUCCACAAAAGACCAAAAUGACACAGACAUUAACAACUAUAGGUCACCGUACGGCCUUCAACAAUGAGCAAAGCCCAUACCGCAUAGUCAGCUAUGAUAGGCCCCGAUAAUACAAUGUAAAACAAUUCAAACGAGAAAACUAACGGCCUUAUUUAUGUAAAAAACAAUGAACGAAAAACAAAUAUGUAACACAAAAACAAACGACAAC
rnacentral:lncRNA from 1 species